rnacentral:rRNA from 1 species
GAUGAACGCUGGCGGCGUGCUUAACACAUGCAAGUCGAACGAAGCACUUUAUUUGAUUUCCUUCGGGACUGAUUAUUUUGUGACUGAGUGGCGGACGGGUGAGUAACGCGUGGGUAACCUGCCUUGUACAGGGGGAUAACAGUUGGAAACGGCUGCUAAUACCGCAUAAGCGCACGGCAUCGCAUGAUGCAGUGUGAAAAACUCCGGUGGUAUAAGAUGGACCCGCGUUGGAUUAGCUAGUUGGUGAGGUAACGGCCCACCAAGGCGACGAUCCAUAGCCGACCUGAGAGGGUGACCGGCCACAUUGGGACUGAGACACGGCCCAAACUCCUACGGGAGGCAGCAGUGGGGAAUAUUGCACAAUGGGCGAAAGCCUGAUGCAGCGACGCCGCGUGAGCGAAGAAGUAUUUCGGUAUGUAAAGCUCUAUCAGCAGGGAAGAUAAUGACGGUACCUGACUAAGAAGCACCGGCUAAGUACGUG